rnacentral:rRNA from 1 species
CCUACGGGAGGCAGCAGUGGGGAAUUUUGGACAAUGGGCGAAAGCCUGAUCCAGCAAUGCCGCGUGCAGGAUGAAGGCCUUCGGGUUGUAAACUGCUUUUGUACGGAACGAAACGGUUCUUUCUAAUAAGGAGAGCUAAUGACGGUACCGUAAGAAUAAGCACCGGCUAACUACGUGCCAGCAGCCGCGGUAAUACGUAGGGUGCAAGCGUUAAUCGGAAUUACUGGGCGUAAAGCGUGCGCAGGCGGUUAUGUAAGACAGUUGUGAAAUCCCCGGGCUCAACCUGGGAAUUGCAUCUGUGACUGCAUAGCUAGAGUACGGUAGAGGGGGAUGGAAUUCCGCGUGUAGCAGUGAAAUGCGUAGAUAUGCGGAGGAACACCGAUGGCGAAGGCAAUCCCCUGGACCUGUACUGACGCUCAUGCACGAAAGCGUGGGGAGCAAACAGGAUUAGAUACCCUGGUAGUCCACGCCCUAAACGAUGUCAACUGGUUGUUGGGUCUUCACUGACUCAGUAACGAAGCUAACGCGUGAAGUUGACCGCCUGGGGAGUACGGCCGCAAGGUUGGAACUUAAAGGAAUUGACGGCGNGAGAGNGCGAGACGACGACGAGGGAGGAGG